UACGGAGGGAGCAAGCGUUACUCGGAAUUAUUGGGCGUAAAGGGCGCGUAGGCGAUUUGAAAAGUCUUGUGUGAAAGCCCCGAGCUUAACUCGGGAAGUGCACAAGAAACUGUUGAAUUUGAGUUCCGGAGAGGAAGGCAGAAUUCCCGGUGUAGCGGUGAAAUGCGUAGAUAUCGGGGAGGAACACCAGUGGCGAAGGCGCCGCUCUGGGCCGUGACUGACGCUGAGGAGCGAAAGCGUGGGUAGCAAACAGG
rnacentral:rRNA from 1 species